rnacentral:rRNA from 1 species
GACGAACGCUGGCGGCGUGCCUAAUACAUGCAAGUAGAACGCUGAAGAGAGGAGCUUGCUCUUCUUGGAUGAGUUGCGAACGGGUGAGUAACGCGUAGGUAACCUGCCUUGUAGCGGGGGAUAACUAUUGGAAACGAUAGCUAAUACCGCAUAACAAUGGAUGACACAUGUCAUUUAUUUGAAAGGGGCAAUUGCUCCACUACAAGAUGGACCUGCGUUGUAUUAGCUAGUAGGUGAGGUAACGGCUCACCUAGGCGACGAUACAUAGCCGACCUGAGAGGGUGAUCGGCCACACUGGGACUGAGACACGGCCCAGACUCCUACGGGAGGCAGCAGUAGGGAAUCUUCGGCAAUGGGGGCAACCCUGACCGAGCAACGCCGCGUGAGUGAAGAAGGUUUUCGGAUCGUAAAGCUCUGUUGUAAGUCAAGAACGAGUGUGAGAGUGGAAAGUUCACACUGUGACGGUAGCUUACCAGAAAGGGACGGCUAACUACGUGCCAGCAGCCGCGGUAAUACGUAGGUCCCGAGCGUUGUCCGGAUUUAUUGGGCGUAAAGCGAGCGCAGGCGGUUUGAUAAGUCUGAAGUUAAAGGCUGUGGCUCAACCAUAGUUCGCUUUGGAAACUGUCAAACUUGAGUGCAGAAGGGGAGAGUGGAAUUCCAUGUGUAGCGGUGAAAUGCGUAGAUAUAUGGAGGAACACCGGUGGCGAAAGCGGCUCUCUGGUCUGUAACUGACGCUGAGGCUCGAAAGCGUGGGGAGCGAACAGGAUUAGAUACCCUGGUAGUCCACGCCGUAAACGAUGAGUGCUAGGUGUUGGAUCCUUUCCGGGAUUCAGUGCCGCAGCUAACGCAUUAAGCACUCCGCCUGGGGAGUACGACCGCAAGGUUGAAACUCAAAGGAAUUGACGGGGGCCCGCACAAGCGGUGGAGCAUGUGGUUUAAUUCGAAGCAACGCGAAGAACCUUACCAGGUCUUGACAUCCCGAUGCUAUUUCUAGAGAUAGAAAGUUACUUCGGUACAUCGGUGACAGGUGGUGCAUGGUUGUCGUCAGCUCGUGUCGUGAGAUGUUGGGUUAAGUCCCGCAACGAGCGCAACCCCUAUUGUUAGUUGCCAUCAUUCAGUUGGGCACUCUAGCGAGACUGCCGGUAAUAAACCGGAGGAAGGUGAGGAUGACGUCAAAUCAUCAUGCCCCUUAUGACCUGGGCUACACACGUGCUACAAUGGUUGGUACAACGAGUUGCGAGUCGGUGACGGCAAGCUAAUCUCUUAAAGCCAAUCUCAGUUCGGAUUGUAGGCUGCAACUCGCCUACAUGAAGUCGGAAUCGCUAGUAAUCGCGGAUCAGCACGCCGCGGUGAAUACGUUCCCGGGCC